AUUGAACGCUGGCGGCAUGCCUUACACAUGCAAGUCGAACGGUAACGGGCCUUCGGGUGCCGACGAGUGGCGAACGGGUGAGUAAUGCAUCGGAACGUACCUUUCAGUGGGGGAUAACGUAGCGAAAGUUACGCUAAUACCGCAUAUUCUGUGCGCAGGAAAGCAGGGGAUCGCAAGACCUUGCGCUGAUUGAGCGGCCGAUGUCAGAUUAGCUAGUUGGUGAGGUAAAGGCUCACCAAGGCGACGAUCUGUAGCGGGUCGGAGAGGAUGAUCCGCCACACUGGAACUGAUACACGGUCCAGACUCCUACGGGAGGCAGCAGUGGGGAAUUUUGGACAAUGGGGGCAACCCUGAUCCAGCCAUGCCGCGUGAGUGAAGAAGGCCUUCGGGUUGUAAAGCUCUUUCGGCCGGGAAGAAAUCGCAUGGGUUAAUACCCUGUGCGGAUGACGGUACCGGCAUAAGAAGCACCGGCUAACUACGUGCCAGCCGCCGCGGUAAUAC
rnacentral:rRNA from 1 species